CGGCGGACGGGUGCGUAACACGUAGGAAUCUACCCAGUAGCGGGGGAUAGCCCGGAGAAAUCCGGAUUAAUACCGCAUACGCCUUACGAGGGAAAGCAGGGGAUCUUCGGACCUUGCACUAUUGGAUGAGCCUGCGUCGGAUUAGCUAGUUGGUGGGGUAAAGGCCUACCAAGGCAACGAUCCGUAGCUGGUCUGAGAGGAUGAUCAGCCACACUGGGACUGAGACACGGCCCAGACUCCUACGGGAGGCAGCAGUGGGGAAUAUUGCACAAUGGGCGCAAGCCUGAUGCAGCCAUGCCGCGUGUGUGAAGAAGGCUCUAGGGUUGUAAAGCACUUUCAGCGAGGAGGAAAGGUUGGUAAUUAAUACUUGCCAACUGUGACGUUACUCGCAGAAGAAGCACCGGCUAACUCCGUGCCAGCAGCCGCGGUAAU
rnacentral:rRNA from 1 species